rnacentral:rRNA from 1 species
UCGCCUGUUUAUCAAAAACAUAACCUUUAGCCACCAAACCAAUAUUAAAGGCAACGCCUGCCCAGUGAACAAUUAAACGGCCGCGGUACCCUAACCGUGCAAAGGUAGCGUAAUCACCUGUCUAUUAAUUGUAGACCCGUAUGAAUGGCAAAAUGAGGGUUUAACUGUCUCUUAUGAUGAUUCAAUUAAACUGAUCUCCCAGUCCAAAAGCUGGGAUACCCCCAUAAGACCAGAAGACCCUGUGAAGCUUAAACUAAACUAUUAAACCAAAUAAUAGCUCCUUUAGGUUGGGGCGACCUUGGAAAAAAAAAGAACUUCCAAACCAAAUGACUUACACCACACCUUACUUUGGCCAACAAGCCUACAAUCGACCCAGCACAGCUGAAUAAUGAACCAAGUUACUCCAGGGAUAACAGCGCCAUCUUCUUCAAGAGCCCAUAUCAAAAAGAAGGUUUACGACCUCGAUGUUGGAUCAGGACAUCCUAAUGGUGCAGCCGCUAUUAAGGGUUCGUUUGUUCAACGAUUAACAGUCCCACGUGAUCUGAGUUCAGACCGGA